rnacentral:tRNA from 1 species
GCUUCAUUAGCUCAGUCGGUUAGAGCAUCUGACUGUUAAUCAGAGGGUCCCUGGUUCGAGUCCAGGAUGGAGCGCGA